AUAUGAGCCUGGCUCAGACGAGCUGGUAUUUGUCACCCAAUAUGCAGACAGGCUAGAAGACCAAAACUACCUAAACGCGGAAUCCUUGCGCCACGAGCAGCCAGGCUCCCAGAAAACGGACCUUGAGCUCGUUUCUGUGGAGCCAGGCUCAGAGGCUCAAUUUGCACGUGCACAGCCUGGCUCCCAAGCCGACCAGGCGACACAAACACAGGAGCUGCAUCCCGGGAGCGCAGCCAGGCUGCUGGGCCAUGGCGGCAAACACACCCCUAGAGAUUACAGGAAUCGGGGAUUCUGUGUAGCUAGGGUUUGUAGAAUCAAGGUUUUAGAAAAUGAAAAUCUAUGAUGUUCCUCAGGCUUCUAUAUAUUGAUUAUGGGUUCUAUAUAGGUAUAUUGUCUAUAAUACCCUGAGAAUGACUUGAGGAAAAAUAACAAGGUGAGGGGCAAAACCGUAUUCUCACACAUUACAAGCGAGGAAUAUCCCUAUUGGCUCUAAGCCUACAUUCAUAUAUGGCCAAUGGAACAUAUAUGCAUUUAUAUUUUAUAUUAUAUGCUUAAACAUAAAUGAAAACCGUAGCAAUGUACGGUUACUUUGCUAGUAGUACUACAUUUAGAUGUUAAUUAGAAGGAUUAAAUACGAAUUGAUUUUAAAACAAAAUAUGUAUAAGCCGUAACUAAUCGGCAAGGCGAGCCUACAUCCUAAUUAGUUAUUGAUUAGAUGUAGCACCGUAUAAGCUGACCAUGAUCUAAUUAGAAUUAUUAUUAUAUUUAUCUCGCUAAAUAGAUAUUACUUGUACACACAUGGGCGGACCUAGCGGGUAGGCUAGGUAGGCGCCCGACUACCUAGAAUUUGGUCUAAAAACAAAUUGCUUCUUGGCGUUUAGACCAAAAGAAAUAAAUUUAUGCAUCUUGCAACAUAACUUUAUGAAUUCAAUGUAUUAUCAGACGUCUUGGUUAUUUUCAACCCAUAUACCGAAUUGAUUGAAAUUAUAUGUACUUGCUACCAAAUUACAUACGAAAAAAAUUAAACCUUAACUACUCUAGGUUUAAAUCCUAGGUCCGCCACUGCUUGUAUAAUUAAAUUUUAAACUAGUUCGCGUUAAAGGUCUUUUUUGUUUGGAAUUAUAAUUUGGUCAGAUUAAUUUAUUUUAAACUAAGUGUCGUGUCUAAAUGCAAUGCUGAUUUUUAGCUGCUUCAACAGAUCAGGCGGCACCUUAGGCUGUCCGCGGCCGUUCCCCUUAAAUUUUCCCCCUAAAUCUUACUAUGCAGCCACGUCAGCAAAAUUCUCUCCCCUAUAUUUACUCGUCCCACAACCGUUUCCCCUAAAUUUUAUCCUACAUAUCCCUCUACUCAUUAAAUAUACAUUUCCCUAUAACUAACUUCUUUUUUUAUUUAUAUUCUUUUCUUUGAACACGUUUCGAUUAAAGAUCUUACUUGUUUAACAAAAAAAAUAUUUUUUAAUUAUUUCUCUUAAUUUACACAUACUAUGUAAUAAAUCAAAUAAUUUAUCAUUUAAUUGUCAAAAUUCUUACAUCAUUACAUUUAACAUUUAAUUGGUAGCAUGCAAACAUUAAUUAACAUUUGUGGUACGCGCAAAUUUUUCAUAUAUAUUGGGACGGAAUAUUAUGAAGGACACUUACAUUGCAACACAAACCGUCGAGUCGUACGGUCGAAGCCACGAGUGUCUUACAAUGAAAGACACUGUUGGCUUUCAUAGGAAGCCAAGGUUGGCUUUCAAUGCAAGCCCGCAGCUUCCCCCGCUCUUUGCUCUCCCCUAUAUAUAUUCAAUCAACCUCUACCAUAUUGUUCGCCCAUUGUUUUGAGUGAAUCAAGUUAUCCAUAGUUCGGUAUGUCUCAGAGUCAUACGGAAGAUGAGUUUGCUUCGAGUGAUUCGAGUGAUAGUGAGGACGAAACUCUUUUGCUUGUCAACCUACUCACCCUCAACAUUGCGGCUCAACGCCAUCACCGACGACGGUCGGGUUUACCCCGCCGUGUCAUUCACAGAGAUCAUUUCGCAGGAGAAAACCUCAUCCAACAUCACUACUUCGUCGCUAACCCAGUGUAUCCACCCCAUGUGUUUCGUAGAAGGUUCCGCAUGAGUAGGCCUUUGUUUCUCCGCAUUCUGCAAGGUCUUCAACAACACGAUAUUUACUUUACACAAAGAGUUGACGCAACUGGUAUGCCCAGACUAAGACCCUUACAAAAAGUUUGUGCGGCAAUGCGGAUACUUGCUUAUGGGUUACCUUCUGAUGCGGUAGACGAGUAUAUUCAAAUUGGGGAAUCAACCUCUAGGGAAUGCCUUCAUCAUUUUUGUCGCGCAAUCAUUGCAUGUUUUAGUGCCUGGUAUUUACGCACUCCAACUCAAGAUGACAUUACACGCAUCAUGCAUAAUAGUGAGUCUCGGGGUUUUCCUGGCAUGUUGGGUUCCAUUGAUUGCAUGCACUGGGAGUGGAGGAACUGUCCAACGGCUUGGCGUGGUCAAUUUUGUGGGCGAAAUGGUAGAGCAUCGAUGAUACUUGAAGCAGUUGCAUCGUAUGAUCUAUGGAUUUGGCAUGCUUUUUUUGGCAUGCCUGGGACAAACAAUGACGUUAACGUGCUCCACCGAUCCCCAGUAUUUGACCCUAUGACUUCUGGUCGAAUGCCACCUGUCAAUUACACAAUAAAUGGUCAUGCGUACAACUUCGGUUAUUACCUUGCUGAUGGUAUUUACCCCAACUGGCCUACAUUUGUCAAAGCAAUCCGACACCCAUAUGAGGAAAAGAAAGUCUAUUUCACUCAAAUGCAGGAAAGUUGUCGAAAGGAUAUUGAGCGUGCAUUUGGAGUUCUUCAAGCCCGGUGGGCGGUGCUCCGUGGACCAGCUUAUGGUUGGGAUCGUAAUCGUUUGACAGAGAUAAUGACGGCUUGCAUCAUCAUGCACAACAUGAUCGUCGAAGAUGAAGGGCCUUUUGCUGAAAACAUUGAUUUCGGAGACAACUCUUCAAGGAUUGAAUCAUCUCAAAUUAUAGGGGAAGGCCGGGCGGAAUGGGUUAUUAACCACUUUGAUCUACGUCGCCAAGAAAGAUCGUGCUCACUUCAAAAUGAUCUUGUCGAGCAUUUAUGGGCUCGCCGUGGAAGUAUGUAACAAUUAUGUGUCGUAGCUGCUUAGUUCGCACUUAUAUUCAGUACUUGUAAUGUCAUGUCCUCUUAUUAAGUAUUCCAAUAAAUUACCAAAGUUGUU